UACGUAGGGUGCAAGCGUUGUCCGGAAUUAUUGGGCGUAAAGAGCUCGUAGGCGGUCUGUCGCGUCUGGUGUGAAAAUCCAGGGCUUAACCCUGGACCUGCAUCGGGUACGGGCAGACUAGAGUGCGGUAGGGGAGACUGGAAUUCCUGGUGUAGCGGUGAAAUGCGCAGAUAUCAGGAGGAACACCGGUGGCGAAGGCGGGUCUCUGGGCCGAUAUUGACGCUGGAGGAGCGAAAGCGUGGGGAGCGAACAGG
rnacentral:rRNA from 1 species